rnacentral:rRNA from 1 species
AUACGGAGGGUGCAAGCGUUGUUCGGAAUCACUGGGCGUAAAGGGCGCGCAGGCGGUUUGAUUAGUCAGAUGUGAAAGCCCACGGCUUAACCGUGGAAGUGCAUUUGAAACUGUCAGACUUGAGUAUCAGAGGGGAAAGUGGAAUUCCCGGUGUAGAGGUGAAAUUCGUAGAUAUCGGGAGGAAUACCGGUGGCGAAGGCGACUUUCUGGCUGAAUACUGACGCUGAGGCGCGAAAGCGUGGGGAGCAAACAGGAUUAGAAACCCCAGUAGUCC